rnacentral:tRNA from 1 species
GCUUUAAAGAUAGUAGUAUCAACUGGCCUUAGAAGCCAGCCCCCUCGGCGCAACUCCAAGUUAAAGCU